GCCAAGAGAAUAGGGUACUUGAUCUAAAGAAAGCACAAAACAUCGCAAUUUUGCUGAGGGCCAUAAAUGUAACCACAGAGGAAAUAUGUGAAGCCCUUUUAGAAGGAAUGCUGAAACUAUUGGGAGUGAGCUCCUUGAGAUUUUAUUGAAGAUGGCUCCAUCAAAAGAGGAAGAACGUAAGCUAAAAGAAUACAAAGAUGAUUCUCCAGUCAAGCUCGGGCCAGCAGAGAAGUUUCUGAAA
rnacentral:misc_RNA from 1 species